AUGCUGUCCAGGUUUGUCAUAGCUUUUCUUCCAAGGAGCAAGUGUCUUUUUUAUUAUGCCUCCCAAAAGACGUUCUGGGCCUGUGCUUUCUCAUCCCAGAGCCCUGGCUGAGUGUCCUGAGGAGGGGUCAUGUCUUGCCUUCACCCUGAUACCCUGAAGCCUCCACGUUGGGCUUCAGAGCUCAGGCAGGAGGGGUGCUGAGCCGGUGCGUGAAUUGUGCAUCGCUUGGUGUCACGUCCAGAGAUUGCUGUCCAGGGAUGGAUGUGAGUAAGGAUGGAGGUCCUCUAACUUACCAUUAAUUUACACUGUGAAUCGCCAAAGGUAUAAAACUGGACCUUUCCAAUCCUGCCGGGUUGACUGUUAAACAUGUGAAAACCGGACAUUUCUGGCCCUGCCAAUGUUCUGCUUGCUUGGUGAACAGGACUGGGUCUCAGCCCAUGGCUGUCCUUCUGCCCACGGCAGGGUCUUCUCAGCAGAGAUUCUUCGAGUCCCCUCUCUGGGGUAAGGGAGGAGAGGUGGUUUCCUGGGGGUUUCCUGCCUGAUGUACUGUUUGCAUCUGUUCUGGACCUCAUCUUCCCUUCAUGUCCAGAGGGCAGGCCUUUCUUUAGACUUUGUGCAAAGGAUCUGCGAGUGUUAAGGAGAAGUGCCAGCUUCUGGGACAUUUAGGGGCUGCCUGCGACCCACCUGUCCUGUAAACCCUGGUGCACAUUUCACAGCGGUGGCCAGGGUUGGAGAGACAGGGUGCACGAUGUUGCUGGGGAGCCCCAGGGAGACUCAGGCCGUUGCUGUGCUUUACCGUGGGGACAUAUAGAGGGCAGCAUCCAGCACAAGAGGGGACAACACGGUUCCUGUUGUAAACUGUCCUCUAACCAAAGCCUGUGGCGCAUUCUAAAACAUGACCAUGGCCACAGGGCCUUCCUGUGAUGGGGUCUUCAUCUCACAAGCCCAGCUGCUCACUAGAGGGUGGUACCGCCUCCCUCAUCAGAGGCUGCUCCCUGCUGAGUGGGACCAGGGCCCUGGGGACAACAUGUCAAGAGCUGCGUGACCCACAGCAGACACACCGCCAAGCUCAAGGCAUCCACCUGUGUGUUUUUUUUUUUUCCCCCAGCAUAGACGGGUCUGAGCAUCAGUCACCAUGACCAGUUUCCCAACCGUGAGCUCCAGAUCAGCCCAGACUCUCACAUCAGGUGGGGAGAGGUGUCGAGGUGGUGUGGAUGGACCUUCCUUCCCCCAUCCUAGGGGAAAACCCCACCGCAGGCAGCACCUGCUUCCCCUGGGGAACUGGGCUCAGCUGAGUUGUACAUCAGGAACUGACAGAGGGAGCGUGGGAUGAUCUAA
rnacentral:lncRNA from 1 species